rnacentral:rRNA from 1 species
AUUGAACGCUGGCGGCAUGCCUUACACAUGCGAGUCGAACGGCAGCACGGGUGCUUGCACCUGGUGGCGAGUGGCGAACGGGUGAGUAAUACAUCGGAACAUGUCCUGUAGUGGGGGAUAGCCCGGCGAAAGCCGGAUUAAUACCGCAUACGAUCUACGGAUGAAAGCGGGGGACCUUCGGGCCUCGUGCUAUAGGGUUGGCCGAUGGCUGAUUAGCUAGUUGGUGGGGUAAAGGCCUACCAAGGCGACGAUCAGUAGCUGGUCUGAGAGGACGACCAGCCACACUGGGACUGAGACACGGCCCAGACUCCUACGGGAGGCAGCAGUGGGGAAUUUUGGACAAUGGGCGAAAGCCUGAUCCAGCAAUGCCGCGUGUGUGAAGAAGGCCUUCGGGUUGUAAAGCACUUUUGUCCGGAAAGAAAUCCUUGGCCCUAAUACGGUCGGGGGAUGACGGUACCGGAAGAAUAAGCACCGGCUAACUACGUG